GUGCUUGCUUCAGCAGCACAUAUUCUAAAAUCGGGAUGAUACAGAGAUUAGCAUGGCCCCUGCAGAAGGAUGACAGGCAAAUUCACGAAGCCUUCCAUAUUUUU